CCUACGGGCGGCAGCAGUGGGGAAUAUUGGGUAAUGGGCGCAAGCCUGACCCAGCAACGCCGCGUGAAGGAAGAAGGCUUUCGGGUUGUAAACUUCUUUUCGCAGGGACGAAGCAAGUGACGGUACCUGACUAAUAAGCCACGGCUAACUACGUGCCAGCAGCCGCGGUAAUACGUAGGGGGCAAGCGUUAUCCGGAUUUACUGGGUGUAAAGGGCGAGUAGGCGGGUCUGCAAGUCAGAAGUGAAAGGCGGGGGCUCAACCUGUGGACUGCUUUUGAAACUGUAGUACUUGAGUGCAGGAGAGGUAGGUGGAAUGCCUAGUGUAGCGGUGAAAUGCGUAGAUAUUAGGAGGAACACCAGUGGCGAAGGCGGUCUACUGGACAGUAACUGACGUUGAGGCUCGAAAGCGUGGGGAGCAAACAGGAUUAGAUACCCCUGUAGUC
rnacentral:rRNA from 1 species